rnacentral:rRNA from 1 species
UACGGGGGGAGCAAGCGUUGUUCGGAUUUACUGGGCGUAAAGGGCGCGUAGGCGGUCAGCACAAGUCAGUUGUGAAAUCUCCGGGCUUAACUCGGAACGGUCAACUGAUACUGUGCGACUAGAGUGCGGAAGGGGCAACUGGAAUUCUCGGUGUAGCGGUGAAAUGCGCAGAUAUCAGGAAGGAACACCCGUGGCGGCAA